rnacentral:rRNA from 1 species
AUUGAACGCUGGCGGCAUGCCUUACACAUGCAAGUCGAACGGCAGCGCGGACUUCGGUCUGGCGGCGAGUGGCGAACGGGUGAGUAAUAUAUCGGAACGUGCCCUGGAGUGGGGGAUAACUAGUCGAAAGACUGGCUAAUACCGCAUACGAUCUGCGGAUGAAAGGGGGGGAUCGCAAGACCUCAUGCUCGUGGAGCGGCCGAUAUCUGAUUAGCUAGUUGGUGGGGUAAGAGCCCACCAAGGCAACGAUCAGUAGCUGGUCUGAGAGGACGACCAGCCACACUGGGACUGAGACACGGCCCAGACUCCUACGGGAGUCAGCAGUGGGGAAUUUUGGACAAUGGGGGCAACCCUGAUCCAGCAAUGCCGCGUGUGUGAAGAAGGCCUUCGGGUUGUAAAGCACUUUUGUCCGGAACGAAACGGUGAAGGUUAAUACCCUUUGCUACUGACGGUACUGGAAGAAUAAGCACCGGCUAACUACGUGCCAGCCGCCGCGGUAA